ACAUACAUACGUGCGAAUAAUAAAUAAAAUAUAUCUAACUAUAUUGUUUCACAAUUCGUACUGAAUUCGGCAAUCAAAUCAAAACGAAUCAUCAAAAAAAAAAAAGAAACAAAAUUGUUUUUUUUUGCAACGAACAUACAUAGUAAAGAAAACUACAGAAAAAAACAACAACAAUUUAGUUAAAAGCCAAGCGAAGAAAACGAAAGAAUUGCAGUUCUAAAUUUAAAUAUAUGUAUGUGCUCAGUGAGAGGGCCCAAACUGCGAGCGGUCUACAAUACAAAAAAAACAAAACAAAAAAAAAUAAAAACGAACGAAAACUAUGCGAAAAGAAAAACCUCAAAAGGAAAAUACAAAACAAAAAGAAAUCUAAUUAACAAUUGUCGAGAACAAGAGCGUAAAGCAACAAACCAAAAAUAGACGACAAAAGAGAUAAGCGAUAGCAAAAACUAGCUAGCUAGCUGACGAUCGAGUCCAACGACCAAGCAAUAUACAAAAGGAAGAGGUCCUACUUUUGUUUUGUAUAUAAGCCAACGAAUUCAACUUUAAACAAAGAGGAAAAAUGAAAACAUAACAAAACAAAAAUUGUAUUAAAACUAAA